rnacentral:misc_RNA from 1 species
GUAGCAUUUCAAGGUCCUUUUCUUCUUUUUCUGACAGGGGAAGGUGGGAAGAGAAUCUAUUAUUACACUUCAUGAUCAUAAAAAAGUGUAAAUCGCCAAAAUCUCACGCCAGUAUCUUUCACAUAAACAAGCUUUCUUUCUUCCCUCAUAUUGUCCAUCUUUAUUAUUUUCAGUAGAGAGGGAAUGUUAGGUUUCUUUUUCUUUCUUCUGUCCUAUUCUCCAUCUUUCUUUUUCUUUUCUUCUUUUCAGCUAAGGAGAAUGCUAGAUUUCUUAACGACAAUCAAAUGUCAACAGUAAAACAUCAUCACUUGAUAAAUCCACAGCCAGCACAAGCAGCAAUGAGUUGCCAGCUUUCGUGGAUCCCAGAAUUAUUGGCGUUUCAUUGCCAUAAAUGAGGUUAGUAAAGGCAUGUCUAUUGAUACAUACCAUUAUUUCUUGAAAGAGGAUAUUUUAGCUAAAUUUUAAUUGCACUGCAGGGUGAGUACUUCAGACUUAUAACUGUUUACCCAAUAUAGGAUCUGUCACAAGGGAUGAUAAGUAAAUGACUCUACGCCAACAGCUCUUUUUUUUUUUUUU